rnacentral:rRNA from 1 species
UAAUACGGAGGAUCCGAGCGUUAUCCGGAUUUAUUGGGUUUAAAGGGUGCGUAGGCGGGCUUAUAAGUCAGCGGUGAAAGUUUGCGGCUCAACCGUAAAAUUGCCGUUGAUACUGUGAGUCUUGAGUGUAGAUGAGGUGGGUGGAAUUCGUGGUGUAGCGGUGAAAUGCAUAGAUAUCACGAAGAACUCCAAUUGCGUAGGCAGCUCACUGGGCUACAACUGACGCUGAGGCACGAAGGUGCGGGGAUCAAACAGGAUUAGAUACCCUGGUAGUCCGCACAGUAAACGAUGAAUACUAGUUGUUUGCGAUAUACAGCAAGUGACACAGCGAAAGCGUUAAGUAUUCCACCUGGGGAGUACGUUCGCAAGAAUGAAACUCAAAUGAAUUGACGG